rnacentral:lncRNA from 1 species
UACUGUUUUUACUGUCAUAUUUUGACUUUGAAAAUGUGUUGUUAUAGAAUGUAAAUAUUGUUCUAUAAGUGAACUGUUUUAAUGCACAUAUAUAAAAAAAAAAUGUAUAAGACAAUGAAUAUUAUAAUGCAUUAUUUGAAGUAUUUGAUGUGUUCAAAUUUUUCAUAAUAAACAAUUUAAUUUGAUGUCUUUUAUUAUUUUUCACACCCCAUUCAUUUUUGAAAUUG